GCCUGGGUGGCUCAGUCGGUUGGGCAUCUGAUUUCGGCUCAGGUCAUGAUCUCAUAGCUAGUGGGUUCGAGUCCCACAUUGGGCU
rnacentral:tRNA from 1 species